rnacentral:rRNA from 1 species
CCUACGGGAGGCAGCAGUGGGGAAUAUUGCACAAUGGGGGAAACCCUGAUGCAGCAAUGCCGCGUGUGUGAAGAAGGCCUUCGGGUUGUAAAGCACUUUCAGUUGUGAGGAAAGUUUAGUAGUUAAUACCUGCUAGAUGUGACGUUAGCAACAGAAGAAGCACCGGCUAACUCCGUGCCAGCAGCCGCGGUAAUACGGAGGGUGCGAGCGUUAAUCGGAAUUACUGGGCGUAAAGCGCACGCAGGCGGUCUGUUAAGCUAGAUGUGAAAGCCCCGCGCUCAACGUGGGAGGGUCAUUUAGAACUGGCAGACUAGAGUCUUGGAGAGGGGAGUGGAAUUCCAGGUGUAGCGGUGAAAUGCGUAGAGAUCUGGAGGAACAUCAAUGGCGAAGGCAACUCCCUGGCCAAAGACUGACGCUCAUGUGCGAAAGUGUGGGUAGCGAACAGGAUUAGAUACCCUGGUAGUCCACACCGUAAACGCUGUCUACUAGCUGUUUGUGAAUUUAAUUCGUGAGUAGCGAAGCUAACGCGAUAAGUAGACCGCCUGGGGAGUACGGCCGCAAGGUUAAAACUCAAAGGAAUUGACGGA